rnacentral:rRNA from 1 species
UGGGAACCUACCUGGUGGUACGGAAUAACUCGGGGAAACCCGAGUUAAUACCGCAUACGCCCUGGCUUUAUUGUCGGGGGAAAGAUUUAUCGCCAUUGGAUGGGCCCGCGUCGGAUUAGCUAGUUGGUGUGGUAACGGCGCACCAAGGCGACGAUCCGUAGCUGGUCUGAGAGGAUGAUCAGCCACACUGGGACUGAGACACGGCCCAGACUCCUACGGGAGGCAG